CUCACUAUGUAGACUAGGUUAACCUUGAACUCACAGAGGUCUGCCUGUGUCUGCCCACCAGGAGCUGGGUUUAAAGGUGUCCACCACCACACUCAGUCAUAAGCUUAGUUUUUAAAGAGCUUCUAAACUGCUAGAAGAGAUGGCAUAUUGCCCCUCCUCUCCCCAGGAAGCACUUAACCAGUCUGAAUGCAUCUCUGACAGUUCAGGUCAGAGCAUUUUGGCCCUAGGUAGGUGUUGGAACUAGAGUAUGUUGGGGGCUUAUUCUAACUCUAAGGCUCUAAUCAUUUGUUAAUUAUCUCAUGAACAUUCACUACUCUGGCCACAGGAGCUGAACUCUGUGGUAGCACAAUGUCCAAAGCAGAAAAACGGGGAUCCUCAACUUCCAGAUCAGAGAGACUGGCCAUAGCUCCUUUCACUUCUUAUAGCAUCGGGAAACCGAGAAGACUGAGGAGUCACCUAGCCGGGGCACAGACAACAUUCAGAGGCCCGACCCCUCCACCCUGGAUUCCAGCCUCAGAAACAGCCUUUCUAUGGCAGCAUGAAGUCCCAGGAUAGCACCUCUUGCAAUAGGUUCUCCUAAAAGCAAUCUUACAAGUAUGUCACUUCCCACCUGUGCUGGAGGACCAAGCCAAGGCAAGGAGAACAGGCUAGAGCCAGAUUUGGGGAUUUAGAUUCUAGGACUGUUCAACGCCAAGCACAAGGACAGAAUCCUAAAGGAAGAAAUUGGUAUUAUGCAAAAAUGAGAAGCCAGGAAAGAAGCCGACUCUCAAGCAGGUGAGGGUCUGGUGACCAGGUGGGCAGCUUGAAGAUCUGUGCAUCAAUGCAGGGCCAGGAGCAGGAAUCAGAAACUCGUGGGGUAAAUGACUUACUCUGGAGCUGAAACAGGGAAUGUACGAAACAAACCGGAGAACAUCUUAUGCCUGAGAGGAAGAAAGCACACCGUGGACGAGGAAGAUACAGCAAAAGGACAGAAGCUUCAGCUUAAAAGACAUCGAAAAUAAUGAGAGUAAUGGGUUACAGUCUUUGACUAAACUCGGACUCCGUAUGUCUAUCUAUGUUAAUAUAAAUAAGUGAACGGAUUAUUGGAGGAGAAGACUAGCUCUCAUUUAUAGUACAAGGCCAACCAAUAAAAACAGAAGACGUGAUGGGACUGACACUCUUCAUGUAGCAAACAGUCUAAAGGGGGUUCAUUCUGUCAGUGAGGACUAAGGUCAGUACUUGGAAGUCUGAUAAGAAACUGUAGGUUUUUGCCUCAGACUGAGUCCCCACAAAAUUUUAAACAAAUGCAAUCGAGAAAAAUGUUCCGUUUAAGGCAGAGAGGCCCUGAAAGCAUCAGCAUGUGCCUCCGGAUGUGAGGCUCUAUGUAGAGAGCAUUUCCGUAGACUUACAGCCAAGAAUGCACAACCUCGGUCCGAUCAUAAGAAACUAAGCCCAAAUCAGAGGUCACCACGCAGAAUACACAGCUAACUGUCAAGCACAGGGAGAACAAGGAUGGACAGAGGGGCUGCAGCUGUGUGAAGAAACCUGAGGAGACACGAGAACCAAGGCACUGCCUGUUCUUGGACUGAGGCCUGGAGCGCAGAGGAGAAAGGAAUCUGGAGGAUUCUUGGUGAAAAUCAAAUACAGCUAGUGAACUGGCCAGGGCUGUUACGCCACACCGGAUAAUCAGGUCUGGAGAGCCGCAUGUUGGUGCUGAAGGAAAGAGUACUUGUCUGGAGAAAAUACAUCCUGGAAUGUGGCAGGGGACGGUUCCAUCAUGGCUCCAGCUCCCACUCAAGUGGAUGAGAAGCAAAGACCAUUCAUAGCCCAACUAGGGGGACAGCGGAUGGCAAUAAAUACACAAAACAUUAAUGAGUGGAGAGACUGGUGAGGGAGUGCUUGCAUUCCAGAAACUUCAAAAAUGAUUUCAAAAUGAAUGAAAGGGAAUCUAUUAUGUAAUAGCUAUAUACAGCUAUGUAUUUAGGCAGACACACAUCCAGGGUGGUGCAAAUUAAAACUACAUGAGAUCCUAUGACACAUCAACAAAAGAGCUAGUUAAAAUAACCGUAGUACCCCAUGUUCAAAAGGGUGUGGAGGAAGAGGAGC
ensembl:lncRNA LOC120103476 uncharacterized LOC120103476